GGGCAAUCGUUCGGCCAAUACUUGCGAUGUUAAUCGAGCAAGGGGGCGUUCGGCCAAACUUGCAAUGUCAUCGAGCAAGUUUGGUGGGUGGUCGGCCGGCACUUGCGAUGUUAAUCGAAAAAGCGGGCAGUCGUUCAGCCAAUACUUGCGAUGUUAAUCGAGCAAGUUUGGUGGGUGGUCGGCCGGAACUUGCGAUGUUAGUCGAGCAAGGGGGCAUUCGGUCGGCCGAAAAGUCGGCCAAGCAUUGAGACUUGGUGGCGCAAAUUAUGUCUCCUAUAACUAGAAAUAAUCUAUCUAGUAUUAUUUUACAAAGGCGCAAAUUUACAUAUUUUCCCAGGACACUUCUCUCACGGAAGAAACUUGUAACUAUAACAUACACACUAUAACCAGUAAACUCAGAAAUGCACUGAACUCACAGAGAGAACAAAUACCCUAUGAUUAGAGAAAUUAAAAUUUAACCUAGAAUUCUGAGGCAACUUGUGAUUGAACGCAAACAAGUUGCAAAUAACCUGAAAAAUUUCAAUGAGACACUAGUUGA
rnacentral:lncRNA from 1 species